GAGUGUGUCCUCUCACAUAAANNNNNAUCUCACCCUUUGUGCACCACCGCGCGGGCAGCCUUCGGGAUCANAGUGAUCUCAGAGGAUGCUCACGUUUUCACACAAACCCCCUUUUAAAAGUGUAGAGUGACCUCAUUUAUGCGCUAACCCGCAAUCAAUACAACUUUCAACAACGGAUCUCUUGGCUCUCGCAUCGAUGAAGAACGCAGCGAAAUGCGAUACGUAAUGUGAAUUGCAGAAUUCAGUGAAUCAUCGAAUCUUUGAACGCACCUUGCGCCCCUUGGUAUUCCGAGGGGCACACCCGUUUGAGUGUCGUGAAAAUCUCAACCUCCUUGGUUUCUUCUGGAGACCAAAGGAGGCUUGGACUUUGGAGGCAUUUGCUGGCAUCUUCUCUCUUUUGAAGGUCAGCUCCUCUUAAAUGAAUUAGCGGGGUCCUCUUUGCCGAUCCUUGACAUGUGAUAAGAUGUUNCCAUGCC
rnacentral:rRNA from 1 species